ensembl:snoRNA small nucleolar RNA U54
UGGCUAUGAGGACAAAAGUGCACUGAACUACUUUGAUUAAUUUAUACGCUAUUCUGAGCCAACA